rnacentral:rRNA from 1 species
AGGACGAACGCUGGCGGCGUGCUUAACACAUGCAAGUCGAGCGGAAAGGCCCUUCGGGGUACUCGAGCGGCGAACGGGUGAGUAACACGUGAGCAACCUGCCCUUAGCUCCGGGAUAGCUCCGGGAAACCGGAUUAAUACCGGAUAUGACUUAGGCCGACAUCGGCUGUGGUGGAAAGUUUUUUCGGCUGGGGGAUGGGACUCGCGGCCUAUCAGCUUGUUGGUGGGGUAAUGGCCUACCAAGGCGACGACGGGGUA